UGUACAGUUGAGAAUUUUUGCAACAAAAUGCGUGUCUUGUUGGAUCGCAAGAAAAUUUGUGAUGCGGAAACUUUGAGCUAGGAUUGAUUUACAUUCCAUACGAAUCUCCAUUUCUAGACGAUUCGUAGUAGAGGAGCAUUUUCUCUUCUCUCUGCAUCCUCACUUCUAAUAACACUUUUUACAACCCGCUCGGCCAGAGGAUUUAACCGAUUUUUUGUAGGAAAAAAAGUACCCAGCAAUGAUAUCAUGUGUAGGCUCACAUGUCAAUGUGUGGUUUGGUCAAACCAAAAGCUCUCAAGAAUCGGGAACCUGAUACAUAAAAAUUAUUCCCUCUGGAUAUAUGGGGGGAGACCUGAAAGAAGGAACAUCACAACAGUUCAGACAAAAGGAGCGACGAAGAAAUGAAGUUGCAAAGAGCAAAGGGAAAACCAGCAAACCUGGGAUGAUCAACGGCGGGAAUGUAGGCUUGAGCGACACCGCCAGCAAGGGGAUCUGCUGCAAGAUGGGAGCAGGGCGACGGGCAGAGCUCGUGCGGAGGAAGAGGAAAACCAUGCUUGCUAGUAGAAAACCUCCAGAGAGAAAAGGGUUGUUGCUGUUGAAAAACAACAUGCAGAAGCAAUAAGCCGUGCACUGUGUAUGCUUGAGCAGAUAUCCUUGUGGUGUUUUUUUACUUGAACCUAGGCGACAACUUCUGCC
rnacentral:lncRNA from 1 species